rnacentral:rRNA from 1 species
CCAGACUCCUACGGGAGGCAGCAGUGGGGAAUAUUGCACAAUGGGGGGAACCCUGAUGCAGCGACGCCGCGUGGGUGAAGGAGCACCUCGGUGCGUAAAGCCCUAUCGGCAGGGAAGAAAAGCGAACAGGUUCGCCUGGACGGUACCUGACUAAGAAGCCCCGGCUAACUACGUGCCAGCAGCCGCGGUAAUACGUAUGGGGCAAGCGUUAUCCGGAUUUACUGGGUGUAAAGGGAGCGCAGGCGGCCUGGCAAGCCUGAUGUGAAAUACCGGGGCCCAACCCCGGGGCUGCAUUGGGAACUGCCAGGCUGGAGUGCCGGAGAGGCAGGCGGAAUUCCUAGUGUAGCGGUGAAAUGCGUAGAUAUUAGGAGGAACACCAGUGGCGAAGGCGGUCUGCUGGACAGCAACUGACGCUGAGGCGCGAAAGCGUGGGGAGCAAACAGGAUUAGAUACCCCCGUAGA